rnacentral:rRNA from 1 species
UACAGAGGGUGCAAGCGUUAAUCGGAAUUACUGGGCGUAAAGCGCGCGUAGGUGGUUUGUUAAGUUGGAUGUGAAAUCCCCGGGCUCAACCUGGAACUGCAUUCAAACUGACAAGCUAGAGUAUGGUAGAGGGUGGUGGAAUUUCCUGUGUAGCGGUGAAAUGCGUAGAUAUAGGAAGGAACACCAGUGGCGAAGGCGACCACCUGGACUGAUACUGACACUGAGGUGCGAAAGCGUGGGGAGCAAACAGG